AUUGAACGCUGGCGGCAUGCUUUACACAUGCAGGUCGAACGGUAACAGGCCGCAAGGUGCUGACGAGUGGCGAACGGGUGAGUAAUGCAUCGGAACGUGCCCAGUCGUGGGGGAUAACUACUCGAAAGAGUAGCUAAUACCGCAUACGAUCUAUGGAUGAAAGCGGGGGACCGUAAGGCCUCGCGCGAUUGGAUCGGCCGAUGUCAGAUUAGGUAGUUGGUGGGGUAAAGGCUCACCAAGCCAACGAUCUGUAGCUGGUCUGAGAGGACGACCAGCCACACUGGGACUGAGACACGGCCCAGACUCCUACGGGAGGCAGCAGUGGGGAAUUUUGGACAAUGGGCGCAAGCCUGAUCCAGCAAUGCCACGUGCAGGAAGAAGGCCUUCGGGUUGUAAACUGCUUUUGUACGGAACGAAACGGCUCUGGUUAAUACCCGGGGCUAAUGACGGUACCGUAAGAAUAAGCACCGGCUAACUACGUG
rnacentral:rRNA from 1 species